GAUCAUGGCUCAGGAUGAACGCUGGCGGCGUGCUUAACACAUGCAAGUCGAACGGGAAUUACUUUAUUGAAACUUCGGUCGAUUUAAUUUAAUUCUAGUGGCGGACGGGUGAGUAACGCGUGGGUAACCUGCCUUAUACAGGGGGAUAACAGUCAGAAAUGGCUGCCAAUACCGCAUAAGCGCACAGAGCUGCAUGGCUCAGCGUGAAAAACUCCGGUGGUAUAAGAUGGACCCGCGUUGGA
rnacentral:rRNA from 1 species